AGCAGUGUGGCUCAGUGGAAAGAGCCUGGGCUUUGGAGUCAGAGGUCAUGGGUUCGCAUCCCGGUUCUGCCA
rnacentral:tRNA from 1 species